GAUGAACGCUGGCGGCGUGCCUAAUACAUGCAAGUCGAGCGAACGGACGAGAAGCUUGCUUCUCUGAUGUUAGCGGCGGACGGGUGAGUAACACGUGGAUAACCUACCUAUAAGACUGGGAUAACUUCGGGAAACCGUAGCUAAUACCGGAUAAUAUUUUGAACCGCAUGGUUCAAAAGUGAAAGACGGUCUUGCUGUCACUUAUAGAUGGAUCCGCGCUGCAUUAGCUAGUUGGUAAGGUAACGGCUCACCAAGGCAACGAUGCAUAGCCGACCUGAGAGGGUGAUCGGCCACACUGGAACUGAGACACGGUCCAGACUCCUACGGGAGGCAGCAGUAGGGAAUCUUCCGCAAUGGGCGAAAGCCUGACGGAGCAAUGCCGCGUGAGUGAUGAAGGUCUUCGGAUCGUAAAACUCUGUUAUUAGGGAAGAACAUAUGUGUAAGUAACUGUGCACAUCUUGACGGUACCUAAUCAGAAAGCCACGGCUAACUACGUG
rnacentral:rRNA from 1 species